CAAUAACUCGUUGGAGCUAUUUUGUCAUACUUGAGAUUUUCCAGAAAAUAGAACAAGCCCACAGAAUGGGUUUAAUCUGCCAAAGCAUCUCCCUCUUUACAAGCAUCUACACAGGCCUCCAGCCCUAAGUACUUUCACCUGGACAAUGUUAUGAAGCUUAAUCCAGUACUAGUAGCAGAAAGACUUGUGAAGCUGGGAUUAUGAGCGCCUGCCAUCAUGCCUGGCUAAUUUUUGUAUUUUUAGUAGAGGUGGGGUUUCGCCAUGUUGGCCAGGCUGGUCUUGAACUCCUGACCUCAGGAUCGGCACCCCAAAGUGCUGGGAUUACAGGUGCGAGUCUGCACCGGGCCAUAUUGCUAAUUUUAGAAGUGUUUUUAAACACAUUAAACCCAGCCUCUUUUCUUUUCUUUCUUUUUUUAGCUACUUGGGAGGCUGAGGCAGGAGAAUCACUUGAACACAGGAAGUGGAGGUUGCAGUGAGCCAAGAUCAUGCCACUGCACUCCAGCCUGGGGACAGAGUGAGACUCUGUCUCAAAAAAAAAAAAAAAAAAAAAAAUUAGCUGGGUGUGGUGGUGUGUUCCUGCAAUCCCAGCCACUUGGGAAACUGGGGCAGGAGAAUCUCUUGAACCCGAGAGGCAGAGGUUUCAGUGAGCCACUGCACUCCAGCCUAAGCAACAAGAGCGAAACCUCUGUCUCAAAAACAAAAUAAAAAUAAACAUGAAUAGACUUUGAAUGAGGGACUGAGAAGGUCCCCUAUGAGCAAAGAACUCAAGUUGAAAUGUACAGACUCUGUGAUAUGCCGAUUUUAACUGCUCAGUGGCACUGUCUUCUUCCUUUUCCAGUUGGGGCUCUCUUCUGGAUGGGGUGAGGUUUAUAAAAUAAGUGACUUCUGAGCAAGCAUUCCUACACACUGAAAUAAAAAUACUUCAUGAUUUUGAUACAGGGAGUUCUUAGAGACUUGCAUGGAGUAGGUGUCACUACCUGCUUGUUGAAUAAAUGGCUCCAGCAGCUUUUCAUGCAGUAAGAAAUUUUAGAAAAUGAUGGGUUUAAAGACGCUUUGAAACACAAAUUAGGCGGGGGCAGGGAAUAUGAAAAGCAUCCCCAAAGCUCAGAUUGUGAUUUAGCUCAUUUUGAUGGCAUCAUUUCACCCAACCCCAGACAGUGCAUCUUGUUCGGGUUUCAAGAAGCCUGGGUGUAAGACAGGCCUAAGGAUUCCUUCCCCUAGAUAAUACAUCCUUUCCCCCCACCA
rnacentral:lncRNA from 1 species